CCUACGUGAGGCAGCAGUGAGGAAUAUUGGUCAAUGGGCGGGAGCCUGAACCAGCCAAGUAGCGUGAAGGAUGACUGCCCUACGGGUUGUAAACUUCUUUUAUAAAGGAAUAAAGUGAGGCACGUGUGCCUUUUUGUAUGUACUUUAUGAAUAAGGAUCGGCUAACUCCGUGCCAGCAGCCGCGGUAAUACGGAGGAUCCGAUCGUUAUCCGGAUUUAUUGGGUUUAAAGGGAGCGUAGAUGGGUUGUUAAGUCAGUUGUGAAAGUUUGCGGCUCAACCGUAAAAUUGCAAUUGAUACUGGCAGUCUUGAGUACAGUUGAGGUAGGCGGAAUUCGUGGUGUAGCGGUGAAAUGCUUAGAUAUCACGAAGAACUCCGAUUGCGAAGGCAGCUUACUAAACUGCCACUGACAUUGAUGCUCGAAAGUGUGGGUAUCAAACAGGAUUAGAUACCCGUGUAGUC
rnacentral:rRNA from 1 species